GCAUUGGUGGCUUGGUGGCAGAAUUCUUGCCUGCCAUGCAGGAGGCCUGGGUUUGAUUCCUGGUCAUUGCA
rnacentral:tRNA from 1 species